GGAAGGUUGCCAGAGUCCGGUUUAUUGGCGCAGUCUUGAAAACUGAUGGUCCGCAAGGGCACGCGGGUUCGAAUCCCCCACCUUCCGCCA
rnacentral:tRNA from 1 species